AGUCCCGUAGUGUAUGACAUAGCGGAUUGCAAAUCCGAAGAUGCAGAUUGAGUUCUGCCGGGGCUU
rnacentral:tRNA from 1 species